rnacentral:rRNA from 1 species
UACGGAGGGUGCAAGCGUUGCUCGGAAUUAUUGGGCGUAAAGGGUGCGUAGGCGGACAGGUAAGUCAGUGGUGAAAUCUCUGGGCUUAACCCAGAAACUGCCGUUGAUACUAUUUGUCUUGAAUAUCCUGGAGGUAGGCGGAAUAUGUCAUGUAGCGGUGAAAUGCUUAGAUAUGACAUAGAACACCGAUAGCGAAGGCAGCUUACUACAGGAUGAUUGACGCUGAGGCACGAAAAGCGUGGGGAGCAAACAGG